rnacentral:rRNA from 1 species
GUGAGGAAUAUUGGUCAAUGGGCGGGAGCCUGAACCAGCCAAGUCGCGUGAAGGAAGAAGGAUCUAUGGUUCGUAAACUUCUUUUGCAGGGGAAUAAAGUGCAGGACGUGUCCUGUUUUGUAUGUACCCUGAGAAUAAGGAUCGGCUAACUUCGUGCCAGCAGCCGCGGUAAUACGGAGGAUCCGAGCGUUAUCCGGAUUUAUUGGGUUUAAAGGGUGCGUAGGUGGUUUGAUAAGUCAGCGGUGAAAGGUUGCAGCUUAACUGUAAAAAUGCCGUUGAAACUGUCGGACUUGAGUGUAAAUGAGGUAGGCGGGAUGCGUGGUGUAGCAGUGAAAUGCAUAGAUAUCACGCAGAACUCCGAUUGCGAAGGCAGCUUACUAAGCUACAACUGACACUGAAGCACGAAAGCGUGGGGAUCAAACAGGAUUAGAUACCCUAGUAGUCC